rnacentral:lncRNA from 1 species
UCUUCUACAAGAAUAUUUCAGUGUUCGGCUUUUGGAUGAGGCAUUACAGUGUGUGGAGGAAUUGAAAUCUCCUUCUUUUUACCCUGAGGUUGUUAAGGAAGCCAUUUGCCUUGCACUUGAUAAAAGUCCACCAUGUGUUGAACCUGUAGCCAAUCUCAUGGAGUAUCUAUACAUUAAGAAGAUUCUUACUGCUAUAGAUAUCGAGGCCGGCUGUUUGUUAUUCGGUUCUCUGCUGGAUGAUAUUGGCAUAGAUUUACCUAAAUCACCUAGUAAUUUUGGUAUGAUAAUUGGGAAACUAAUUUUGGCUGGGGGAUUAGAUUUUAAGGUGGCGAGAGAGAUUCUCAAGAAGGUGGAAGAUGACAUGUUCCAGAGAGAAAUAUUUGACAGUGCGGUAGGGGCCAUUAAAUCUUCUGCAUCCGGACAAGCAGUGUUGGAUUUACAAACAUCUGAUAUUAAGGCCUGCCAGAGUCUGCUCAAGUGAGUCAAUAUGAUUCUGUAACUGGACGAACCUGUCUUCCUUUGCUACUUUAAAUUACCCCUACAUCCUCACUUUUUGAGUAAAAGAUUUUUGUAUUAAAGUAUGUUAUAAAGUGGAGAUUUGCCAGGUAUUUUUCUUAAGCUGUAAAAUUUUAUUUUUGAUUGAGAUUUUUUAUG